GGAAUAUAGCUCAGUUGGUAGAGUGCUUGUCCUGCAUGCACAAGGGCCUGGGUUCAAUCCCCAGCACCA
rnacentral:tRNA from 1 species